rnacentral:ncRNA from 1 species
GCCCUCGUCGUGUCCGGUAGCAGUAAUGCCCGGGUGGUUCUGCAUUUGAGACCAUAGGAGCACGUAACGGGGGCUU